CUUGACGAUCAUAGAGCGUUGGAACCACCUGAUCCCAUCCCGAACUCAGUAGUGAAACGACGCAUCGCCGAUGGUAGUGUGGGGCUUCCCCAUGUGAGAGUAGGUCAUCGUCAAGCU
rnacentral:rRNA from 1 species